rnacentral:rRNA from 1 species
GAUGAACGCUGGCGGCGUGCCUAAUACAUGCAAGUCGAGCGAACAGACGAGGAGCUUGCUCCUCUGACGUUAGCGGCGGACGGGUGAGUAACACGUGGAUAACCUACCUAUAAGACUGGGAUAACUUCGGGAAACCGGAGCUAAUACCGGAUAAUAUAUUGAACCGCAUGGUUCAAUAGUGAAAGACGGUUUUGCUGUCACUUAUAGAUGGAUCCGCGCCGCAUCAGCUAGUUGGUAAGGUAACGGCUUACCAAGGCAACGAUGCGUAGCCGACCUGAGAGGGUGAUCGGCCACACUGGAACUGAGACACGGUCCAGACUCCUACGGGAGGCAGCAGUAGGGAAUCUUCCGCAAUGGGCGGAAGCCUGACGGAGCAACGCCGCGUGAGUGAUGAAGGUCUUCGGAUCGUAAAACUCUGUUAUUAGGGAAGAACAAAUGUGUAAGUAACUAUGCACGUCUUGACGGUACCUAAUCAGAAAGCCACGGCUAACUACGUG